rnacentral:rRNA from 1 species
AUUGAACGCUGGCGGCAGGCCUAACACAUGCAAGUCGAGCGGAGCGGCGGACGGGUGAGGAAUGCCUAGGAAUCUGCCCGGUCGUGGGGGAGAACGUUCGGAAACGGGCGCUAAUACCGCAUACUAUCAGAUGAGCCUCGGUCGGAUUAGCUAGAUGGUGGGGUAAAGGUCUACCAAGGCGACGCUCCGUAACCGGUCUGAGAGGAUGAUCAGUCACACUGGAACUGAGACACGGUCCAGACUCCUCCGUGAGGCAGCAGUGGGGAAUAUUGGACAAUGGGCGAAAGCCUGAUCCAGCCAUGCCGCGUGUGUGAAGAAGGUCUUCGGGUUGUAAAGCACUUUAAGUUGGGAGGCGUUACCAGCAGAAUAAGCACCGGCUAACUUCGUGCCAGCAGCCGCGGUAAUUC